GACCAGUAAGGAGCUGGUUGCAAGCUUGAGAAGGUCUUUGGGCUUCGUUGAACUGAAUUUGUACCCUUAGAAGCUGGUCUGGAAGGUAUUCUAACCUGAGGUAAGCAGGGAUUUCAGUUAGAAAACUGAAUUCGCAAGAUUUCGACUAUAUUUGCUAAAAUACGAUGAUUUUGAUGUCGUGUUGGUGUUGAUCGCAGCGGGACUUCAACCGACCUUUGGGUCAUCCUUGGUUGGCUUUGGGAAGCCUUUAGAGACUUAUUUGGAGCAGCUUUGGGGCUUCGUUGAGACGUUUGUGGGACUUCGUGUGGAUAGUUGGAGCCUAAUACUAGGUGGGUCGGACCUAACCAGAGCAAGUGAAACUCCCCUAUGUUCUAUAUGUAUUAUAGAAAGAGUCUUAUAAUUGUGCUUAUGUGAUUGAUUAAGGGCUUGACAUUCGUCAUCAUAAUGUCGAACAUAUUCGAAGUAACGUCUCCAUAAAGUAGAGGACACUUAUCCAUGAAAGUCUUUACCUUUAUAUUCAAUUUAGUUGAAUGAUUUAUGAACAAGUGUAGGA